rnacentral:rRNA from 1 species
ACGGAGGGUGCAAGCGUUGUUCGGAAUUACUGGGCGUAAAGGGCGCGUAGGUGGUUGUGUAAGUCAGAUGUGAAAUCCUUAGGCUUAACCUGAGAACUGCAUCUGAUACUGCAUGACUCGAGUACAGCAGAGGGAAACGGAAUUCCUGGUGUAGGAGUGAAAUUCGGUAAUCCCUGGGGGAACACCGGUGGCGAAGGCGGUUUCCCAGGCUGAUUCUGACAGUGAGGCGCGAAAGCUUGGGGAGCAAACAG